UGUAAAGAUGGCAACCAUGUGGCUAUCUAGUUAUACAGCUCACAUUUCUGACAAAUUGGCUGCAAAGUGCUUCCCAUAUCUCUUUUAAAAGUAGCAGUUAUGGUAUCUCCUGCAAUUUAUCUUGUGAUAAAACACUUGAUUUGAGAAUUUUUUAGGAAAUAUGAAUACACACUAGUUGCCACUUUGUGUUUGUUGGGCUCUGUUAUUCAUUUUUCUUUUUGCAUAACUACAUACCAAUUAAUUUUCUGUUACCUAUGAAUGAAUUUACCUAUGAAGAAACACACAAUCCCCAACCGAGCAAUACUUUUUCACUUCCCCUUGCCACUUCCCUCCCCAAAUAAACUGCAGUCAUUUUAGAUACGCACUGUAAUUAUAAAUCUCCAAAGCUGUCUAGGACAGGUGGACUGUAGAUAUGAGGAUGCAAUUCAAAAUUUCUCCUGAAUACACUGAGAUUAAGCCAUGAAGAUGAAUUCUUGCAAAGCACUCAUGUUUGAAAGGGAAGUUCAAUUAUAUUGCCUUUAAUGACUGUGUUUAAUCUUCUAGCUUUUGUAUUAUUUCCUAGUGUUAUCACGUCAACUUUGGAAACAUAUCCAGAUACGAAUGAGGACACAUUUUCCUAGACCUCUACCAGCUAGAGGUGAUGGGAAUGCACUUGUUAUAGCCUAUAUGUGAACCAAAAUAUUUAUUCUAUGCAGUAUCUUAGGAAGUAUGUGUCCCUUGAGAAAACUGAACUGGCAUUACUGCCAGAAUAAGCUAUUUUACAACUAAAUAACAUUACAACCUAAAGAAGAUGACUGUGGCACAGGAAGCAGUGGGAAAAGGUUUAAAGAUAACUUUUUUUUGCCAAAGGUUUUAUGUUUCUUCACCUCACAACCUUACAAUCUAAAAGUCUUAUCUCUGUUAUCUCAACAAUCUUUUUUAAAGACUGUACAAGCUAUUCGUGUGUGUACAUUUUGGUGCCUUUUGCUUCUUUGCUUUCCUUUAUACGUAUGUGAAAAAUUAAUAAAAGCUAAGCAAUAAAAUAAAAUAAAAAUAUAUAAUUAAAAAAGUUUUUCAGAUCUUUUACUUUAUUAACCACUAAUACCCCUAGUCAGGGGAAAAAAAAUCCUUCACAGUCAGAAUUCCGAAGUGCUCCUAGACAGCAAAGAAGGGUAAAAAACAGCUGCAUUUAAAAAUGUGGAAAGUACCAAUCCACUGCCUUCAUUUACUUGUGAUUACGUUACUUACAUUUAUCUGAUGAAAACAAAUAUUUGCUAUAAAUGUAAACCAACGUGAUCUGAAGCAAAGGUAUUGGUAGCCUGGCACACAAUUAAACCAUUUGCAUCAAAUAUAUUGCAGUUAUUAUUAACAUACUGUGUUUUUCUGUCAUAUUUUGUAUCUUUGUAACUAACCAUGCACUAAAGAACUGUACACAAAUGCUUCAUUUAGGAACUUCUGAUUUGUCAUGAAUGCCAUCAAGUGAAUUGCUGAAUAUUAAAAACUUCAGCUGCUUCAUCUAAGUGUGAAAAAGAGUGCUACGCUUUACAGGAUCAAAUAACUGUAUCCCUCUCCCUAUAUUCCUCUAUUUGGAAUUUAAAAGCCUUUUUCACACCAAGAAAUAUUCAUCUAAAUUUCCUGCUCUGCUUUUGUCACAUAAAUUUUUAUCAUCAUCAUCAUCAUUUACGUAUACAUAAUAUUUGGCGCUAACAUACAGGAAGACAAGAAGCCAUCUUUCAACUUCUGAUCCCUGCAGUAGACUACUUUUGGGCAAUUAUUGAGCUCACCUGAAGCCCUGAUGAGGCUUUGCAGCACAACAUUCUCAUACACACUUUACAACUUUACUGCAAAAUCAGUCUACUUCUUUUCACAUCUACAAGGGAGUGUAGGGGAACUCUCAAAACCGCUUAUUGAGUAUUCUUAAAAGGAAGAAAGGUCCCAAAGGUUUGACGGUUCCAUCAACCACGAGAAAUGUUUCCUGUGAGAUAGUUGAAGUGCCAGGGUGACCUCAUGACUAUAGUUAGUCACAUAAAGGCAUAAGUUGCCAUGCUAUUUUGGGGACAUUGUUUCUGAAGAAAAAGAGCCCCAAGUUGGGUAGGUCUCAGACUUGGACUUCGACUGGUGCUCCAUCCUGGGGUAUAGGAUUUUAUUUUAGAUGAACUGGGACUCCUAUGAGACAGUUCUCCUUGUGGUUAUAGGUAAUUUCUCUUUCUGUUCUCAUCUGAAAUGAAGAACCUUGGGAAAAUAUUACGAGGAAAAGCUUUUCGUGCUCAGAAAAUGAUUAUGUGAGGCUCAAAAGGAUGAAGGGAAGUGUUUGCACCAGAACUGAUAAGCAUCUAAGCUGAUAAAAAGUCUAAAUGCUUCACACAUCCGUUUUACAAUGAUUAAAUACUAAGCAAUGUACUAAGCAAUUAAAACGAGUACUGUUUGUUUUCUCUUGAUGAAUAGUUUUUCUUAAUAGAGGACGUUAGACAUCGAUGAUGAUGUACUCUGACCUUUUGUACAAAAGGAAAAAAUACUUUACGAUGUUGUGCUUCAAUAGAGUUACUAAAGUUUAACACAUACAUUCCAGACACUUGACUUGUACAAAGACAGGAGCUGAUUUUCCACUAACUGAGAUAAUAUUCUAGGUCUCAGUGGAAACACUCCUUUUCAUGUAGCAGUGAAAAAAGGAGGUCCAUGGUGUUUGCAAUAAAUUUUCUUGCCGGAAGAUAAAGCAAUCAGAAUUAUAUCUACAGCAGGAAUAACCAUGUCCUCCAUCCUAUUGAUUUUUUAUGCUGUUGCAGAUCUGGAAUAUUGUCUGCUCCUGCCCAGCUGGAGGUAAUCUCUGAAUUUCUGAAAUUUAAAUAUUUAUUGUUCUUCCAGUAAUUUCUGUAAUAUUCUCUGAAUUUUUCAACUUGCCUAAACCUUAGACAAUCUACAUCUAUAGGAAGCAAAAUUCUUAAAUCUUCUAGAAGCCAGAGUAUGUUUAGAGAAGGCAAGAUGUAUUGAUUAUUGCCAAAUCUCAGUGGACAAAGACAUUAUGUUAUUGUCAGCAUUUUUAUUGCUGCCACUGUUUGGUUUUUUUUCCUGUGAAUAGUUACAAGCAUCUGUCAUAUAUGUUAGUAGGCACUGAGAAAUUUUCAUAAGAGUCAUAUGUAGCUUUAAGAGACAGUAAAAUGAGUAUAUUGCUUCAUUUCUAUCACACUUCGUAAGUCCACAGACAAAAAAAAAAGAAAUAAUAACUAAAAAUGCCGGUUUUCUGGGUUUUUUGGGGUUUUUUUUGAUGAGCAAAGAGAAUAAUAUAAUCUUUUCUCAAUCCAGCUAUCCUUUUGCAGACUAUGGAUAACUCGUAUAUAAUGUAAAAAUGUUAUAGAAAUUGAAAUGUGUGAUGCCAGAAAGAAAUCUAUCAAGAUGCAUAGAAAGAGGAAUUCAUCAGGGGAACAGGGCCCAGAGCACACACAGAUAAUUUGUGACUGAUGAAUAUUCUGCCCAUCUAGAAAAUUUUAUGGAAAGUUUGAUUUGAUGCAUUCCCAAGAAACAAGGCUCUCCUUGCUUCUGUAAUUCUCUGUCUGCAUCUUGAUAAAUAAUUACCCUCUUAAAAUAACCUUGCACACAGCAUAAACUCAAAAAGAGAGGCACCAGCUCUUAGUCCCAUGAUGUUUAUGGUCCUGUUGGAGUCAACAGGAGAGAGGCAGAGCUGGUAAUAACUGCUGACGACAGAGAAAUUCACUAAAUUACAACUUCUGAGAACAGUCUAUCUGUUCUGCACAUAGUGAUACACUUUCAUGGCAAGCAAAAUUUUAUUUUUAUAUUUGUCUUUGAUAAACAGCUUUCUACCUCUCCUACUCUCGCUUAUUCAAAAAGGAAAAUCUUAUGAAAAUACUCUCUCCUUUUCUUGUGACGUAAUUUGCAGGGACGUUAUGCAGGGAUUGUUUUUAUUUUUUCAGCUACUGAGAGCACAUUUCUGUUCUCAAAGAGACACAGAUAACCAAGGCCACUGCCAGUGAGAGGCUUAUCUGUUGUGUUUCUGUCAGAAAAUGGGCAAUGUAACACAGGUCAUGUAAGAUGGGACUCGAGUGAGAGAAAGGGAUAAUUAACUGAAAAGCCUAGCUUACAACAUAUCAAAUAAUGAACUUGUUCAACUACUUGUUCUCUCUGGUUUUAAAGUUCAGGAGGCUCAGGCUGACCUGAACCUGCUGUGUUCAAGCUGUGCAUACAGUACUCCUCCCUGCAGGCACUCUAAAUAAUAUUUUUAUUUCUUCCUCUCCUCUCUUUUAGGUCAGACUAAAAUAUAGGGGUGGUGUCAGGGGAGAAUGGUGUGACAGUUCAAAAAGGAACCUCAGGAUCCCCAGAUUUCCUCCGUGUCAUUCCUGUGUCUCGACAUCCCUUGUAAAAUAAACUGUGAUGGAAGAAAGGCACUGAAAUUGUCCGCAGGAGAGACACGGAAGAGCAGGAAUGCUGCAGCUGGUUUCCACCAGCACGUGAAGGAAGCAGAAACCACUCCAGAAAUGAGGCGUAGUGAUAACUGAUCUCCACUUGAAAAGACUUUGAGGAAACAUGCAACUGCUCAAGUUACUGGGAUCAGUGGGUGACAGAGAAGAGCUGCCUCUCAGUUCCAUGUCUGCACAAGAUGCCGAAGCAGAGACGAGAUUUUGCUCCCUGACAUCACAGCACCUUUGCCAUUCUCCAAAUCCUCAGCUCAUUUGCUGGCCAGGGGACAAGUCUGUCACUGUGCUGGACUGAGGAGGACGUGCUUCUACCAGAACAGCUUCACACCAAGCUUUCUGGGACCUGAAAUAUUGUAAACGCUGUUUUCUCUCCUAUGGCCUGGAAUGCAAGGUAUUGGAGCUAGAAAGAAAUCAGAUUGUUAAGUCAAAUCACUAGUUGAAUUGAUAAGAGAGUUGUACAUGAUAAACACGAGAUGCCAGAAGCAGCAGCCUCAGGGGGAGCCUCCUCUUGGUCCCUCUGUUGUCCUGUUGAUCCCUACAGUUCUGGUGCAUUGGAAGACCCUGUGAGGACCAGCACCAUGUCUCAGGUGAGUAGGUUGAACCCAGGUGCCAGUGAAUUUCUUACUAUGAAAUGGCCAAGUGGUACAUAAAACUCCCUAGUUUGCGAAGUAUUAGAAAAUUAAAAGUGGUUGGAGAUCUUUUCUUUCUUCUUUUUUCCUCCCCAAUAUAUACAUUCCUUUCCAUACAUAGAGUAUAUCGGUCCCCAGUUCAAUCCGUUGUCUGGACUGUAUAUGAGGCUGUUGGUUUUAUUCUCACUGUUCUGAAACUACUCUCUAUAAACAUGUUGUGAUAAGUUGGUAACAAAAGCACUGAAAUUUAUUAUAUGUCUACCAGUGGAACAUCAGGGAAAGGCAAUAAUAACCAGGCAAAGUGCUUUAGAGCUUUGGUGGGACAAUCAAAGCCUCACAAAUUCCCCUAAAACAUAGGAGGAAAUAUUUCAAAGGCUUGACUUUAUAGAAAAAGCUGCAAAGAUUUGUUUCAGCGGUUGUAAAACUGGCAGUGAGACAAGUUUUGCCAGUUUCUUUUUAUCCAAAACAUUUUUCACAAUGCCUUCAAAAUAUUGUCUUUGUAUGUUCCCCUGCAUUCUUAUUUGAGUGUUUGUCUCAUGUGAUUUGUCUGUCUCCUUGUCACUUCACCUCACUCAUGUCCAAAGAAUACAGUUACCAAAUCUAAUGAAUAAAGGAACGCAAAAGACAUAACCUAGCAACCGCUGAUUUGGGAUGCCAUAUAUUUUUUCAUGAUAAAUAAAACUUUCUCUUACUAGAGUCAGUAGAGCAUUCUGCUGCUUAUGAUUGAUAGUACCAGUUAGUGUCACUUGCUCACUUUCAAAAGGUUUCUGAAGAAUAACAAAAGUGCAGCGGACAAAUGAAUUUUAGCAGUGUUUAAAAAAGAGAAAUUUAAGUUCUUUCACUGUGGAUUUCACUUAAAGUAAAGGGCGCCGGAAAGCAUCAGGAAGAAGGUCACUGAAAUCUAACUUAUUUUUUAAAUGAAUUUUACUUAUACACAAAUGUAAUUGUAUUGAGCCUGAUCCAGUCCUUUCCAUAAAAUAUCAUGCUUUAGUUUAUUGCCGAACACAGUGUGGUCACAUUUGUUUGCCUGUCUAAUUUUGAUGAUGCCUGGAAAUUUUUUUCAGUUGAUUUUAAGGUUAACAAUUGAUAUUCAGCUGCCAAUGUUCUUAAAUGCAAGAAUUAGCUGAGGACACCCUAGGUCAAGGUAAAUGGAGUAAUUUUAAAUCAAAGUGUAAAUCAAGAACAUCGAUUUUGGAAUCUGUUCUUUCCUAUAACCCAAGUAUUUUAUUAUAUUUGAUUUAUUCAGACAGAACUAAUAAUAACUCUCUUUCUUCCCUCACUGGUAGAACAGAGAUUUUUUGAAAGUGUGUUGAAAAUGUUGUUGUUUCAAAGCUCAAAUUCAUGCAAAGAAAGGUAUUCUAUGAAAAUAUGCUAAUAGCACUAGGAACAGCUGGGAUACUUGAUCAACCUUACUUGUUACCGAAAGAUCAGUGAAAAAAAAAUUAGUGAUAAUGAAACAACAGAAAUGUUCAAGUAACGGAAAAGGAAUUGCCACACCUGGAAAUUUUUUCCUCUCCAUCCCAGGAAUUUAUUGGCUGUUUAGUCAUGCAUAUUUUUCCCUGCACUUUUACAGACAUCAGUAUCCACCUCAACACUGACUUCACACUGUUCAGUCAGUACUUUCUUACCUGUGCACUUUCUCAGUACAUUGAACCCAAUUUUGAAAUGAAAAGGUCAUUGGAAGAGAUAAGUGUUCAGUUGCCAGCAGACUUCAAGCACCAGCAGGAUGGGGAGACUGGAAAUGCCCAGGUCUGGAGGGCAGAAGCCCUUCAGACAUAACAGGAAGAGUAUUUACUGGCUGAACAUCUCACGGAAUAAAAGACUGAUUGUUGGAGUGAGGCUGUUCUAAGCCCUGAAUCAGAGCAUGGUAUUUUUGUCCACACGUAGCACAUCCUUGCAAGAGUGUAACAGAUGAUUUGUACCACUGAUUGCUUAGAUCUGCUUGUGAAAUAAAUUGUGAGCAUAUUUUGAGGGGAUGAGAUGCUGGGAGAGUGUAACUGGAAGGUAAGUUACCCACAUUGCCAGUCUGCUUAGCCACAGCUCCACACUGGCUCCUCACCUGUCUUGUGGUCUACUCUGAAAAACAGGGUUAGCAUUAGUUACCAAUAACUCAAAGGGAUGAUCCUAAACAUCAUACCAAGAAUCUUACUGGCCUCCCAGGCUGUCCUUCCUUCAAGCUAUUCCAUGUUAACUGCCUGAACAGUCAAACCCAUGAGGUAAUUUGGUUUUUUUCCAUAUUCUUCUCACGCACUGUUAUAUGAAGUAACAUUAUUUAUAUAGGUAAAUACUGCAGACAGUGAUUAGCAGCCUAUGUGCAGUUACAGAGGUAGUUACACUAUCUAUAGCUCCCAGGGGUUCCCAACCUGUCGAAUCCUGUUCUGGAUAAUGAAUGUGCAGGGAAUCUCAUGAUUAUUGUCAAAGAAGACUAUUUCAGCAGAUGUUACAGACCAUGAAAAUAUAUGGCAGGUACCUAAAAAUGACACUAUUCUCUUGGGUAAUGAAGAGAAAUAUUGGUGCAUAAUGCCAGCAUCUAGCUGCAAGCUUCACAGGCUAAAUGUCUCUUCCCAUCUCUUGUUGAAUCAUCGACAUUCCUAAUACUUCUUUUUAGCAAGGAUGGAAAUAAGAGGUGCCUAGAGACUUGGAAAAUUGCAUCAGCUACUGAUGGGGGUGGUGGUCGAGUGGAAAACUCUUGGGCUGGCUGACAGUCUCCUUUUGUUUACUGAGAAAUGUAGAAACCAAGAAUUUCAGAUAGACUUGAGAUCCUUUGAAAGUUUCGCUUCUUUCUGUCUAAGAAACAGAAAAUGUUUCUACAGGCCAUACUUUUGAUUUUUCAUCUCACUGUUUUCAUUCUUAGCGCUCAUGUGAGAAUUAAAACCAGAGAUCAGUAGGGUCAAAGUAUGAGCUUGAAGACCCCUCGUGAGAAAGAGCUCUGCAUACAGUGUGCUGAGCCGCCUUUCAGUCCCUUCUAACCAGAAAGCACUGGGAGAUAACCGAUUUCUUUCAGCUUUUGUUAACUCUACCUUAUCUCCUUUCCUUUGCAGGCUGCUCUUUCCUCCCUUCUGCUUUUGUACUUCUGCACAUUAGAAUAUUAGGUCAAACACCCUCACUAAAAAUUGUGCUGUACAAUGUUUCUGAUUUUCAUCUUUGGCUUGAUUUUCUCCUCAUUUACUGGAGACAUCAAUGGUAAAGUAAUUUUCAGUUCAGAUGUUUGCACUUUGAUCAUGCAAGAUUUUACUAUAAAGAUUAUGUCAAAUGAGGUUUUCCUAGUUCUUUAUAAAUCUUUACUUCAUGCUCAAAAUUGGUGGGAAAAUAAGGAACAUCUAUUACUGUUGGAAUUAUUAACAAUUUUUAUUGUUUUCCCACUGUGAAUAAUGUGCUACAGAAUAUGAAGGAUCUGUGGGUUAUUACUGAUCUGAUCUUUUACUGGUACAUAAAUUGCAUAAUUGUACUGUCUACUGUAAUAGUGAUGUUUUCGAUACGUGUGGAAGCAGAGAGAGGGAUUAUUUGUCAUUUGCUGUGGAAACCACUUGAAAUUCCAUCUGCUGACUAAUGUAAUUAUAGUGUGAAUGAUAAUCAGACUAGAUGACAGGUUUAAACAUAAAUGCACCUUAUAUUGUCAAAUUUUAGGCAGCUAUAGUGACAGGGACAGUGUACUCUAUUUUGCACAGUAGGUUAUUGAGGUUAUAUAUAUGUGUCAGAAAUACAUGUAUCGUAUACAUGUAAUGCAGAGGAAAACAAUGAUUUAGAAAAAUGUAAAUAUUGUUUAGUAAAAUCUAUUACAGGCCUGGAUUUUUUCCUUUUGUUUUCUCUUUUCUAAAAAAUAGUUCUGUUUCAUUGAAAGAUGCACUAUCUUUGGUAUAAGAUCCUGACUGCAAACUCCUGUAAGAUUGUAAAGCUGCAGUACGUAAUAUAGAGCCUUCACUCUGUUUGCUCUCCAAUAAAGGCUUAAUGGUUGCAGCUUUAAAGCAAUGUUGUCAUAGCACGUCUUCAUGAUGCAGGAACAGUUACCAAGUUUUAUUCCACCUCAUUGUUUAGAUUUCAUCUUGGGAAUCUAUCAGAUGCAUUUUUGGAAUUAAUAAAUCAACUGCCCAGCUCAAUUCCAGAACACGCGUCCCUGCUGAAUGCUUUUGUCUGUACUAUGGUCUUCCAUAUCAAAUUCGUAUAGAGUGCUGUCAUCAGGCUCCAAGUAAAAAGGGAAGCAGGAAGAGUUCAUAGAUUAAAUUUUAGAUUAAAUUUUGCAAGACUAAAAUUUGUAUUAAAAUACUACGAAUUAAUGAAUAUUGCUAUCUGUAGUUAUUUUCUGAGUUUUAAUAUGCUCUCCAUGUAUGGUAAUAAAAUAUUACAGGCUCCAGUAUGUAAAAGGAAUAGAACUUGUUAACAUAAUUAAUAUUUCUACAUAUCAAGGCAAAAAAUCAAUCACACCUAUCAAUAAGCAAAUUUGUUGUUAAAAGAAAAAAAGAUUCGUAUAAUGAAAAGCUGUUAGUUCACCUUGAAAUAUAAUGUAAAGGGACUGGGCAGGGCUUGGGCAGUACCCAGGCUGCCUGCGGGUCAGUGCCAACCACCAGGUGCACUGUUUCACUACUAAAGCAGAGCAGAAACAGGGAGCACAGGGUCGGAACACAUCACGGAGCCACUGGCCACAAUCAAGAACACAGCAGCUCCAGGAUAACACCAUGGCCAAGGCCAGUAGUACUUUCCUUGGUUGAGUAAGCAAGGGAAUAUCAGGUUGAACUAAAGGGGAUGGAUGUCACCUGUAAUUAGAACUCUUUUCACACACGAUGGUGUUUAAUUCCAACAUGGAAAGUUCUAACAAGUCGAUGAUGAAUGAUGUUUAGAGAAGAUGCAUAGUUAUUAUUUAAGGACUUGGGAAAAUGCAUUAUAGUGGAAGACUCAAGAGUAUAACCUGUUUUAUUUAACGAAAAAGGAGAAAAGGAUUAGGGGUUAUUGGAACACAGCCUAGAAUUAUCUCUAUAUGGAACACAAAUCAUAAUGUAAAGCUUAGAAAUUGUCAAAUACAUAUAGGGUCUGGAAAACACAGAAGGAUGAGCAAAUUCAGUCAAGACACAAGACUUCCUUUUAUAAUUGUAACCCGGUUUAAGUGGAAUUAAGUUUUAGAAGAACCUACCAACAUUUGUUCUGUAUUUUUCAUCACUGGAAAUGUUUAAGUCCUAUCUGUGCUUUGCGUUAUGCACAAGGUUUUAUGGAGAGUGAUCUCCUCCGAUUUCUGUUCUAUUGCCAAAUAAUAUUAGAUCCAGUUUCAAAGUUGAUUUCACCUUUUACAAAUCCAUGUGUCCUUCACAAAUCAAAGGAACAGUCCACCAUAGAAGUAAAAUUAAUGUAAGAUUUUAAAAAGUUAAGUAAAAGAAACACAUUUAAAGUAUGAAAUAAGUGUUUGGUUGCAUAUUUUCACAGGUACAGAUUUUUAUAUCUACAAUUUUCUCAGAAGGGAGUACAAACAGAUACCUCCCCAUCCCAUCAGGCUUGCAGCCUUGCAAUUGAUCAUGCAUGAUUGCCGUAGCAACUUUUUUUCUUACCACACUGAAAUGUUUUCACUUCAAACUGAAUAUUGCAUUGAGAGCCCUAUAACCUUGCUGUGCAGAACAAGGGCUGCCUCACUUCUCUUGGACUCCAGCUAAAUAGACUGAAUGAAAAGUUGAGUUUAAUCGAUUUCAAACAUCCAAAUGAAAUAUGCUUAUUUGCCUCUUAUAGAGGCUAGGACAUAUUUCACUUAAAGACGAAUCUAAUGGAAAUAGCAAGUGGUUCGUCAUUGGCUUCAGUGAAACCCAGGAUUAUGCUGACAGUACACAUGGGAAGAUAGGCUUUCUGAAAAGAACAUCCUGAAUUCCAAUCACUUUAUCAUAUGAACAUAAUAUACCUACAUAUUCUACAGCAGCAUGUUCUGAGCAAAUGACAUUUUAAAGGAAAUUAGGUUUUCUGCUCCUACUUCUACCAAACUAUGGAAGUCUUUGGCAGAAUUUGAAAUAUUUUGUUUCUAAAACUUGAAACCAUUACCUUUCUUUGUAACAACUAUUGCCAUGGCAAAAAAAAAUAAAAAUGUUUUGUGUUUGUUUUUAUGGGCGCAUACACAUUCUUUUCCUUAAGAUCAUCCAAUACAAUGAGCUACACAGCAAGAGUUUGUUUUGCUAAGGCGUUUUUUUUUUACCAGAACUAAGACAGGUAUUCUGGAUAGCUGAACAAUUAAUCCUUCCUCCACCACUCAAACAGUCGAGAUUUUUUCACCUCCUCUGAAACAACA